rnacentral:lncRNA from 1 species
GACCCACAGGAGAAGUUGGAAGCAGAGGUCCUCCUGGUAGAAUUGGGAAAAGUGGUCCUAAGGGUGCCAGAGGAACUAGAGGUGCUGUGGGACAUUUAGGAUUGAUGGGACCUGAUGGAGAACCAGGAAUUCCAGGGUACAGGGGCCAUCAGGGCCAACCAGGACCCUCUGGAUUGCCAGGACCUAAAGGAGAAAAGGGCUACCCAGGAGAAGAUAGUACAGUCCUAGGACCACCUGGGCCUCGAGGUGAACCAGGUCCAGUGGGGGAACAAGGAGAGAGAGGAGAGCCUGGAGCAGAGGGAUAUAAGGGCCAUGUGGGUGUACCAGGACUAAGAGGCGCCACUGGACAACAAGGACCCCCAGUA